CAGUAGCCGCGGUAAAACGAAGGGUGCAAGCGUUACUCGGAAUUACUGGGCGUAGAGCGUGCGUAGGUGGUGGUUUAAGUCCGUUGUGAAAGCCCUGGGCUCAACCUGGGAAUUGCAGUGGAUACUGGGUCACUAGAGUGUGGUAGAGGAUAGUGGAAUUUCCGGUGUAGCAGUGAAAUGCGUAGAGAUCGGAAGGAACAUCUGUGGCGAAGGCGACUAUCUGGGCCAACACUGACACUGAGGCACGAAAGCGUGGGGAGCAAACAGGAUUAGAUACCCGCGUAGUCCCUGUCUCUUAUAC
rnacentral:rRNA from 1 species